UGUGUGAUUUCCCCCUUCCCCAAAUAUAUUUUUCUCUUCCAGCGCCCCAGAGCACUUCAGAGGAGAUAUGAAUCUAUGUAUCUCAACUGCCCUUCAAGUCACAGAACAGGAAGGGCGUAACAGCACGUCUGUGACAAAGGAGCAGCAGCCGUAGAGACUGUCCAGCAUAAAAUAUAACCAAGGUUGAAAACAGAGAAUGAGGACAGCAGCAGUUGUUAAGGAAGCAAACACUCAUGUAUUCCAGACCGUCUGCCACCCUUGUGUUGUCGAGCCAGCCCCGGUAAUGAUCCAGGAAGAUCCCACAAGUGCAAAUUUCCAACAAUGCAUCACCCUACAAAGUCAUCUGAUGCCGAAUGGCCAUUCUGGAACUCCCAAAGUACCAAGCAGGCAACGGCGGGGGAGAAGAGUCUGAAGGGGUUUCAACUUGUGUUCCCUUUAAGAAAGAGAUGGACGCUCUCUAGCAAGUCAAAGAUGUUGGCUAGUCUAUCCCUCCCAACCCGGUGUGUGUCUCAUUUUGUGCGUGACCUAUUAUCUUCAAUAGGUCAACAACCCAUAAGCAGCUGAUCUGAGAGGACACAUUCACCAUGGUGCUGUGAGAA